CCCCGAGACCCGUCACCAGGAUCGCGGGCGCCGUGCCUGGCAGGCUGUUAGGGCCCGGGGCUGCCUCUCGGCUCCCAGCGACAACCAGGGAAAAGCAGGAUGGCGGAAGGAAGGAGGAAAGCCGGCCGCCAUUAGCCAGAGAGCAGUAUUGAAUGGCCCGGCGGCUUCAGCCUUGGCUCCAACCCGACCCAGCCCUCGGCUCGGCUCAAAAACCUGAAAAUAAAACUCGUGUUUGAGAGGGAGGAGCGAGCGCGGCCCGGAGGACAAGCAGCGCCAGGCUGCAGGCGGGAGAGAGAUGCUGCGUCAUGAUGCCAACAUGGACGCCGGCCUUUUGUCCUUUUUCUCUUUGGAAGAGCAGGCGAGCCCCGGAGCCCCGAAAAGCUGGCUUCCGGGGGACAGAAACCCCCACAAUCAAUCAGGAACGAGACUUUAAGAUGGGUGGGAAGGUUUCCUCGCUUUUUUCAGCCCCUCCAUCUCCAAAACACUUCGAUUUCUUCUCUGCCACUAAGGUGCAAACCUGAGGCGAGCCAAAGGGACUAGCGCAGGCGGCUCCAUGGAUGCCCCAGGGUACUGGGGACAGGCUCUCUUCGCCUUUGGGUGCAAAAGAGGCAGAGGGGUCUGGAGAGCCCUAGUCCCCUCACCCACCCACUGCAAUCGGCUGCCAAGCUCAAGCUCAAGAAAUCCCAGCUCCCAAUCAUCUGCAGCCCAUGGCCUGCUCAAUCGAGAGUUCCUCGAAGGGGGAAAAAGACACUUGAAAACAAAUUUUUUUAGUCUAGUUUUUUACUUACCCACUCAGCCCGGCGCCAUGGCGUCUAGAAGAAAAAGCUGGCCGGCGCUUUUGGAGAUAUUAUAAAAAUAACAGGUCUUUUUUUGGGAGGUGGGGGAUGUUUGGUUGUUUAGUUGGGGGGAAACCUGGGGUUCUGGUGUCCCUUUGUUACCUUCUUUGUAAGUUACACUCGUGGUAUUUCUGCUCCUUCCACGACUGCAAACUUUCCAGGGUUGGGCUGGCAAAAAGGCGGCUUCGCUGAGGGCUGUUUAGUGCUCUGGAUUUACCAAUGGUGUGAUCGUCAUUAAGAAACAAAAGGCGAAAACACAAGUCAAAUCAAAACAAAAGGCAAAACCAGCCAUCCCAACCGCCACAGAAAAUACCACCGACUCAACGUAGGUGUUUGGCUUGAACCGGCUAAGGGCUUGUUUUCCAGUUUUAAUCUAGUUUUCAGAGGCGGCUUUCAGUCUUUUUUUAUACAAAAGGUCUUCCUUUCUCUUACCCUCCACCACCCCACACCCAGUUCGAGAAAAACAGCUGUUUUUCUUCAAAUAGAUCGAUUUUCAAAGAGUGUACGAGCUACUGGGAAGAAAUCUGAAUAGCAACUAUGGCUGUAAACAUUUUUUUUUUUCCAAAAAGCUCGAAGCUAAAAAAUCGUAGCUUUAUAGAAGCAAAAACGUCUAAAAGCAUUUUAACUGACUUACAUCAGACAAAGACAAAGACAUACAUGCAGAUGAAGCUUCCGAAAAUUCAGGACAUCUCAGGCGACAGUAACACGAGAACGGCAGUGCAGUUAAGGACAGAAUGGAUUGGGUACUUACAAUGUAAAAGGUUUUUAGAAAAUUUAACAGUAACAACAGCUCACAGUUUUUUUGUUAUUGUUGCCGUUUCGCUACAACUAUACAUUUAAAACAUUACCUUGUUAAAAAAUAGAAUUAAUAAGAUGGUCAGGCUUAAGUGUUUAAUAGAGGAAACUAUAUUUAAAAAUUUAUUGUUCAGUCAAGAGAAUACAGAUUAAGACAGCUCCAAGCUCUCCCACCCNNNNNCCCGAGAAAAAAAAAAAAGGAAAAAAAUUAAAUAUGUCAUUUACUUAGGUUUUUUUGAAUUCAAAACUGUUAACUGCUGACAUUAAUAGUGUGCUAUGACCUAGUUAUACAAGACAAAGAUGGAUUCCAAGUCAUAAGGAAAAAUCCAGAUCUUUUUAAAAGGUCUUCAUUCUUCCAAGUGUGAGUCCUUUGGCAAAUGUUAAACACAUUCAGGCGUCCUGAACUGGAUGGUGGAGUCAAAGGAAAAGCAUUCCCCAUUUGCAACAAAGGAAAAACCCACUUGGCCAUUUAAUUCCAUUGCAGAAAAAUGGCUCCCUCAUCUGUUGGCCUCUCCUUGGAGUCUGAUGAAGGAUGUUUUGAGAUCAGCGUCUAAUAACUCAAGCCCUAUAGAAGCCGCGCGCUGAUUGGCUGCCGCACCCUGCCGCCCUGCUCCAGCCAAUUACCUACCCACGGCCAAAUUACAAACCCCGAAAAGAGCCCCAAUAUGAAAUACACCACCACGAAGCCCCGGCGAGGCGGCUGCUUCGCCUCGGCAGCCCGAGAAGAGAGACCGAGGGCGUCUGCAACCAGAUCCACGCGAAAAGCCGGGGAAGCCUACGAGUUGAACUCACAAAAUGGAAGCCGAGCGCUGAUUGGCCGCCGCCACUCCCGGACCUUUAAUAAAGAAAGGGGAAGGAAAAUGAUAAAUGCAAAAAAGGGGACUCUCUGUCGCUGGUGGCUGGAGGAAGGAGGGAGGGAGAAGCAUGUGUUCAAGACAAUUACUGGGCGCUCCCCUCCAAAAAUAAAAACAGAAAGGCAAAAAAUAAAAACGAAAAAAUAAAGAGAAA
ensembl:lincRNA 4932422M17Rik RIKEN cDNA 4932422M17 gene